rnacentral:sRNA from 1 species
UGACAACCUACUCCCGAGAACAGUUCAUU